GCCCGGGUGGCGAAAUUGGUAGACGCAAGGGACUUAAAAUCCCUCGCCCGUUUUGGGCGUGCCGGUUCAAGUCCGGCCUCGGGCA
rnacentral:tRNA from 1 species